rfam:Pteropus alecto contig18892, whole genome shotgun sequence.
GUGCUUGCUUCGGCAGCACAUAAACUAAAAUUGGAACAAUACAGAGAUUAACAUGCCCCUGUGCAAGGAUGACAUGCAUAUUCGUGAAGUGUUCUAUAACAACUUUUC